rnacentral:lncRNA from 1 species
GUCAACAUGUUGGUCACUAUAGAGGGAAUCUUGAAGAGUUCAAGGGGUACUAUUCUCGCUAUGGAGUAGACUUCUUCCAAGUGAAGGUCUACUGAGAAGAAGAAAACAAAAUUUGCUAAGAAGUAGAAGAAGGAUAACAGGCCAAAGAAGGAAGUUUCUAAGAAGGCUGAAGCAAGGAGAAAGUGUUUCCACUGUGAUGCUGAGGCUACUAGAAGAGGAAUUGUUCACUCUAC